rnacentral:pre_miRNA from 1 species
GGAGCGGGGGGGCAGGAGGGGCUCAGGGAGAAAGUGUGUGCCGCCCCUGGCCCUCUCUGCCCUUCCGUCCCCCGUUCCUG